GUGAGCCACCAUGGGGUUGCCGGGACUCGAACUCAGGACCUUUGGAAGAGCAGGCAAUGCUCUAACCACUGAGCCAUCUCUCUCCAGCCCCCUCCCCUUGCAUUUUUGUAUUAUGGAGUUUUUAUUUCCUCACUUUGAGGCCGACUUGCUGGUGAUCACAACAGCACUCGGGAGGCAGAGGCAGGCGGAUCUCUGUGAGUUCGAGGCCAGCCUGGUCUACAAAGGGAGUUCCAGGACAGGCUCCAAAGCUACAGAGAAACCCUGUCUCAAAAACACAAAAAACCAAAAAAACAAAAAAAAAAAGAAUGAGAAUGUAAAAAUGUGACUUUGCAGGGUUCGAGCCACUCGGGAAAUUAAAAGUCGAUGUUGAUAGGAAGAAGUCAGAGUCAGAGAAAAGUAAUGGAGCUGGAGACAUAUGCUGGAACUUUACAAGGGAAGACAAUAUACAGAUGAAUGGAGAUGAAUUAAUUUAUGAUUUAGCCAUAAAUACGCUUAAGCUAUUGUCCAAUGCGUAUUCCAGAAGCUUUAUCUGGUGAUGGAUGAAGAUAGAGACAGAGACCCACACUGGAGCACCGGACUGAGCUCCCAAGGUCCCAAUGUGGAGCAGAAGGAUUGAGAAGAUAAGUUACAAGUCAGAAGGAAUGAGAAGGGUAAGGCCUGCCAGAGUCAUGUUCACCAUCCUGAAGCUGACCUUUUAGUCAGGACAAGAACUCAAAGUAGAAUUUAAAGACAGGAAAUAAAGCAGAGGCAAUGGAUGAAUACUGCUUAAUGACUUCCUUUCUAUGGUUUGUUCAUUAUAUUUUCUUGUAUAAGAUCAUUGUCCCAGGGUUGUUGUGGCCCUUAUUGGACUGCCCCCUUAAGCAAAUUUUUGACUCAAAAAUGUUCAGCAAAGAAAUGUUCAAAAGGAAGAUUCCCUCUUUGCCGAUUUAUCUAAAUUUGUAACAAGCCAGGGGAAUAUUACCCUGCCUUUAAGUUGCCACUGAGCCCUGAGACAUGGAAAUGCCCAUGACCAUGACUCAGCAUUAGAAGCUAAACUAUACAGCAAAGUUAACCACCAAGCAAUUCUUUUGUACUUUUCCACCAGCUCACUGUUCAUGCUCCCCCCCCCCAAAAAAAAACUGUAAAAGCCCUUCCCUCUCUUCCUUCUGCCUAGACCUCUGUGGUUACUUUGGUUCCUGGCCAGAGGUAGCCUCCUUUUGCUGUCUCUCUUCAAUAAAUUGUUUGAGUAGGAUUUGUUACAUGUUAUGAAUUUACAGUAUUCCUUGGCUCCUGGCUACCACGAUGGUCUUGUGCCAGCAAACUCCGAAUAAGCAUACUGAAGAAAUGUUAUUUUCUCUCACCCAGAAACAAUAAAAAGUGCCUGUAAUUUCUAGGAUGAAGAGUAGGAUUUCACUUCUUCCUUGUUGAGAUUCUGUCUGGUGUCAGAUUUUCAGGUCUGAUUCAUAAUUUCAUAGUAUUUAUAAUUCAUGUAUACAUCUUUCAUGCUGUAUCUGGGAAAUGUUAUUUCAUUGAAGUUACACUCUUUUGAUUCUUACUAUUUUUCUGGCUCCUCUUUCUCAUAUAACCAAGCCUUGAUGUGAGGAUGUGAUAGGGACAUUCUACCAAGGAUGGAAAACAACUAAGUCUCACAAUAUCUCUGUCCUGUAAUAUGGCCACUUGUCUCAAGCUUCUGAUGCCCUUUCAAGAUGACUGAUGUGUUUGAAUUAUGAGCCAAAAUAA